rnacentral:rRNA from 1 species
UACGUAGGGGGCAAGCGUUGUCCGGAAUUAUUGGGCGUAAAGAGCUCGUAGGCGGUCAGUCGCGUCUGCUGUGAAAACUCGGGGCUUAACUCCGGGCCUGCAGUGGGUACGGGCUGACUAGAGUGCGGUAGGGGAGACUGGAAUUCCUGGUGUAGCGGUGAAAUGCGCAGAUAUCAGGAGGAACACCGGUGGCGAAGGCGGGUCUCUGGGCCGUAACUGACGCUGAGGAGCGAAAGCAUGGGGAGCGAACAGG